UGGGGGAUAUUGCACAAUGGAGGCAACCCUGAUCCAGCAAUGCCGCGUGCGGGAUGAAGGUCUUCGGAUUGUAAACCGCUUUUGUCAGGGACGAAAAGGAACCGGCGAACAACCGGCUUUGAUGACGGUACCUGAAGAAUAAGCACCGGCUAACUACGUGCCAGCAGCCGCGGUAAUACGCAGGGUGCAAGCGUUAAUCGGAAUUACUGGGCGUAAAGGGUGCGCAGGCGGCUGUGCAAGACAGAUGUGAAAUCCCCGGGCUUAACCUGGGAACUGCAUUUGUGACUGCACGGCUGGAGUCUGUCAGAGGAGGUGGAAUUCCGCG
rnacentral:rRNA from 1 species